rnacentral:rRNA from 1 species
GACGUAGGGCGCGAGCGUUGUCCGGAUUUAUUGGGCGUAAAGAGCUCGUAGGCGGCUUGUUGCGUCGACUGUGAAAACCCGCGGCUUAACUGCGGGCUUGCAGUUGGUAUACGGGCAGGCUAGAGUCCGGGUAGGGGGAGAAGCUUGGAAUUCCUGGUGUAGCGGUGAAAUGCGCAGAUAUCAGGAGGAACACCGGUGGCGAAGGCGGCAUCCUGGACCAAGACGUGACACUGAAAAGCGAAAAGCCAGGGGAGCAAAGCGGG